GUUCCUGCUCCGGUUCAUACUUGGAGCCCGGAGACCUCCGCUCUGGACUCUGGGAGAAGGCGCGCUGAGGAACCAGGACGCGCCUUUGCAACUCAAUGACCAGAAGUUGAGAGAUAACAAAGAUGCUGGUGUUUACCCUUUUCUGUGAGGACAGGAAUAACUUUGGAUCUGACUCCCAGACUGGAACAAACAAACUCACAAAGCGUCACAGCAAUCACGCGUCAGCUGCGUUCAGUCACGACGAGGAGCUGAGAGCGUUUGUUGAGAAACAAUACAAGGGCGCGUGGACGCGCAAGAGCACGUGUACUGUUCACUGACCUGGGUCCUCGGGUACAAGAAAGUCUUUGUUUGCCUGCAGCCUCGUUUUUUUCCAGACAGGAUGGAUGUGUGAAAAAAAAAAGAAAUACGAUACAAAUACACCCAGAGUUUAAUGUCCAAACACUUUCUUAUGUUUUUUGUUUGUUUGUUUGUUUACUGAUUGGACACACACAUACACACAAGCACACACAGAUACACACAUAUUUUGUUUUCUAUAAAACGGAGAUGUCAUGUUUUGAGGCAGGUUUGAAA